rnacentral:rRNA from 1 species
GACGAACGCUGGCGGCGUGCUUAACACAUGCCAGUCGAACGGAAAGGCCCUGCUUUUGUGGGGUGCUCGAGUGGCGAACGGGUGAGUAACACGUGAGUAACCUGCCCUUGACUUUGGGAUAACUUCAGGAAACUGGGGCUAAUACCGGAUAGGAGCUCCUGCUGCAUGGUGGGGGUUGGAAAGUUUCGGCGGUUGGGGAUGGACUCGCGGCUUAUCAGCUUGUUGGUGGGGUAGUGGCUUACCAAGGCUUUGACGGGUAGCCGGCCUGAGAGGGUGACCGGCCACAUUGGGACUGAGAUACGGCCCAGACUCCUACGGGAGGCAGCAGUGGGGAAUAUAGCACAAUGGGCGGAAGCCUGAUGCAGCAACGCCGCGUGCGGGAUGACGGCCUUCGGGUUGUAAACCGCUUUCGCCUGUGACGAAGCGUGAGGGACGGUAAUGGGUAAAGAAGCACCGGCUAACUACGU